rnacentral:rRNA from 1 species
UACGAAGGGUGCAAGCGUUACUCGGAAUUACUGGGCGUAAAGCGUGCGCAGGCGGUUUGUAAGCCAGAUGUGAAAUCCCCGGGCUUAACCUGGGAAUGGCAUUUGGGACUGCAAGGCUUGAGUGCGGCAGAGGAGACUGGAAUUCCUGGUGUAGCAGUGAAAUGCGUAGAUAUCAGGAGGAACACCAGAUGGCGAAGGCAGGUCUCUGGGCUGACACUGACGCUCAUGUACG